rnacentral:rRNA from 1 species
GGGGAAUUUUGCGCAAUGGACGAAAGUCUGACGCAGCAACGCCGCGUGGGUGAUGAAGGUCUUCGGAUUGUAAAACCCUGUCGUCGGGGACGAAGGUAGGGGGGUUAAUACCCCUUUUGCUUGACGGUACCCGGAGAGGAAGCCCCGGCUAACUCUGUGCCAGCAGCCGCGGUAAUACAGAGGGGGCAAGCGUUAUUCGGAAUUAUUGGGCGUAAAGGGCGCGUAGGCGGUGAUUCAAGUUGGAUGUGUAAUCCCCGAGCUCAACUUGGGAACUGCAUCCAAGACUGGAUCGCUAGAGUACUGGAGAGGGUGGUGGAAUUCCUCGUGUAGCGGUGAAAUGCGUAGAGAUGAGGAGGAACACCAGUGGCGAAGGCGGCCACCUGGACAGUAACUGACGCUGAGGCGCGAAAGUGUGGGGAGCAAAC